rnacentral:rRNA from 1 species
CGAACGGGCGAGUAACACGUGGGUGACCUGCCCUUAGCUCUGGGAUAAGCCUGGGAAACUGGGUCUAAUACCGGAUAUGACUCCAUGACGCAUGUUGUGGGGUGGAAAGCCUUGUGCGGCUAGGGAUGGGCCCGCGGCCUAUCAGCUUGUUGGUGGGGUGAUGGCCUACCAAGGCGACGACGGGUAGCCGGCCUGAGAGGGCGACCGGCCACACUGGGACUGAGACACGGCCCAG